UAACACAUGCAAGUCGAGGGGUAUAUGUCUUCGGAUAUAGAGACCGGCGCACGGGUGCGUAACGCGUAUGCAAUCUACCUUUUACAGAGGGAUAGCCCAGAGAAAUUUGGAUUAAUACCUCAUAGUAUUAUUGAGUGGCAUCACUUAAUAAUUAAAGUCACAACGGUAAAAGAUGAGCAUGCGUCCCAUUAGCUAGUUGGUAAGGUAACGGCUUACCAAGGCAACGAUGGGUAGGGGUCCUGAGAGGGAGAUCCCCCACACUGGUACUGAGACACGGACCAGACUCCUACGGGAGGCAGCAGUGAGGAAUAUUGGACAAUGGGCGCAAGCCUGAUCCAGCCAUGCCGCGUGCAGGAUGACGGUCCUAUGGAUUGUAAACUGCUUUUGUACGAGAAGAAACACUGCUUCGUGAAGCAGCUUGACGGUAUCGUAAGAAUAAGGAUCGGCUAACUCCGUGCCAGCAGCCGCGGUAAUACGGAGGAUCCAAGCGUUAUCCGGAAUCAUUGGGUUUAAAGGGUCCGUAGGCGGUUUAGUAAGUCAGUGGUGAAAGCCCAUCGCUCAACGGUGGAACGGCCAUUGAUACUGCUGAACUUGAAUUAUUAGGAAGUAACUAGAAUA
rnacentral:rRNA from 1 species